GACAGAGGGUGCAAACGUUGUUCGGAAUUACUGGGCGUAAAGCGCGUGUAGGCGGCCCUGCAAGUCGGGUGUGAAAUCCCACGGCUCAACCGUGGAAGUGCACUCGAAACUGCAGGGCUAGAGUCCUGGAGAGGAAGGUGGAAUGCUUGGUGUAGAGGUGAAAUUCGUAGAUAUCAAGCGGAACACCGGUGGCGAAGGCG
rnacentral:rRNA from 1 species